CCAUUAGAGCCCCAGCUAUAGCAACAAGAAGGUUGUGCCCAACCGCUCAGUGAGGUCUCGGGGAUGACCCACAGAUGGGUCAUCCAUGCGAGUGAAGGAGAGGCUCCUGGGACACGAGGCACUAUGUAGGGUCAGUGGCAGUAAGGGACAAUAACAGUGUUGAGGGCUGAGCUAGGUGUCACUCAGAGGUGGACUUGAUGUUGGAGAUGUCAGGCUUGCUUGACACUGGCCUUGUGGGGGUGGCAUUCUGGGACAGGCAAAGCAAAGAGGCAUCUUCAGUAGUGAGGAGCCGAGCCAGCCCAGGGAGAGCAAGCAGGAGUCGGUGGAGCCAGUGGUUGACAGUGUGGACUGCGGUAGCGGACAGCUGGGUUUAAGACCUGGGCACAAUGGAGGAUUCUCUUCAUCUUCCUGUGCCUGUUUCUUCACAAGAGGUGAGGAUGAUACCUACUUUAUAGGCCCCUGUCCUCUCUUGGAUUCUAUUCUCAUCUUUAUUCUGAGACAACACAGGAUGGAGCCUGUGCUCAGCAAGCACCCCCAUCUCUGAACACAGGCUCACUGAUCAUUGGCCCAAACCAAGAGUGAGGAUGGCGUUCAUGCCUAUGCCACGGAGUUACCAUGACUACUACAUCUCUGAUAGGUAGCACAGCUGGGCAGCAUCUGGCACACAGUUAUGAAAAGCAUCCUGAUUUUGUUCCUGUGCCCCAGGGAAGUGACUACCUUCUGAGGAGAGCACCUUUGUCUUAAAGCCAAGGACGUGAUCCCACCAUCCAUGUCAAGGACACUCUCUCUGCUCCAGGCAGGAAGCAAACCUAUUUAUAGACUAAGCUAUGUGCUGGUCUAGGUCAUCAAUAAAUUGCUGCCAUUACCCAGGACUGGGUGGGAAGGAAGCUCGUGGUAAGGCUAUCAUCUCCAGUAAGCUAGUGAGGAGGUGAUUUAAUAGCUUAUCUCAGGUAGUUCUGAACCUCCAUGUUAAACAUCCCCAAGGCCCUUGGAUGAUUCCAGAAGCUAUGUAGUGAUGCUCUGUCACACGCAGGGAUUGGGACUUGGUGGUGGCCAGGGUACAAACAGGCAAGGGUGUGGGAAGACUGCAGUGCUCUGGGAGCAGUCGGGGCCUCUGGGACCCUGCCACAAGCCUACUUCUCUGAGCUGCAUCUCCUGUCAAGAGGCCACAGCCUGGGGACAGCAGAGCUCCUCUCCAGGAACAGGAAGAGCAGCCCAGGAAACCAGACCCCGCGUCUCCAGCCUCAACGACCUCUUCCUGAGCAAAGGUUCAUGGGAUCCUUCCCGGUGAUGAGGCGGUGUGACAGGACUUAGGUUACUGAAAUGGAUGUCUCACUAUAAGAAAAGCUGGGAAGCCAGAUGCUGGUCUCCUCAAGAUGGCAAGAACUAAGCAAGAUGCUCCCAUCUCUCUGCUCAGCUUCCAAGGCAGACUCCAGCCACGGACUCUCAGGGAUCUUCAAAUCAGCUGUAGCCCCAGGAAUGCCCCCCUAGGGAUGAAACCAAGCUACUGUCACGCAGUUGUGCAUGUGCAAGCCUUUCAACCAGGGUGCAUGAAAAGCCUCCUCUACCAGCAUGGCCAUCAACCCCUCUGCCCAUGUCUUAGGCUCCUUACUGCCAGGGAGCAACGCUGGCUGUCAUGUUCACAGCUCCUCCGUUGGACUGUCUCCAGCAUAGAUGCUGUAGGGAUGUCAACGUCUGAAGUUAGAGGAGUCCUUGCCACGUGUGCACCUCUCUCUGUCUGGGACAGAUAAGGCACCUGCCCUGUGCGUUCUCGAAGCACACCUUCUCCUUGUUGGAGAGAUGCUCAGAAGAAAGAUGGAGGAGAUACAGCCAGACAUCGGCCUCUGUGUCACAGCCAGCUAUCACAGGAGCAGCAGACCCCCCCCACACACACACACACCUUGUGACACCUUCUAACGCACAUGGAAGCAUUGGCUGGUGCGCCUCAGCAGGGACACUGUCAUUAUAGCAGGAUGUGGCCAGGGCUUGGGUCCCCUCCUCUUUGUGUGCCUUGAUUUGAUAGGUGAGUAAAUGGAAGAGGGGAGGCGGUGCGUGAGAACCUGGCGCCACUCUGGACACCUAGGCAGAGUCUGAGUCCCCGGAGCAUCCUGUGUUUCCUGACCCACCCACUGGUAAUGGUCAGCUACUGCUCGGGCAUGGCUAAAGGGGAGUUCGUGGAAGAAACUGGUUUGUGGAUAGUGUGGAAAGUAAGACAAACUGUGUCAUAGAGGCAUAGAAAGCUGGGGUGUAAUCAGAAGGGAACAGAGGGUAGGGACAUCUGGAAGGUAGAACAAGAAGGCAGGGGCAGAGCUGUAGAUGACAGAGUCCAGAGAUUCCCCCAGCUCAGGAACUUCCAGUGUAAAGACAGAAAAGCUUUGGUUUUUUCAAGUAAAGCCUCCUUUG
rnacentral:lncRNA from 1 species